rnacentral:rRNA from 1 species
CACCAGCCCCUCGAGUGGUGGGGAUGAUUAUUUGGCCUAAAGCGUCCGUAGCCGGCCGGGUAAGUUUCCCGUUAAAUCCAGCGUCUCAAGCGUUGGACUGCGGGAAAUACUGCCUGGCUAGAGAGUGGGAGAGGUCAGCGAUAUUCUGGGGGUAGGGGCGAAAUCCUUUGAUCCCCGGAGGACCACCAGUGGCGAAGGCUGCUGACUAGAACACGUCUGACGGUCAGGGACGAAAGCUGGGGUAGCGAACCGGAUUAGAUACCCGGGUAGUCCCAGCCGUAAACGAUGCAUGCUAGGUGUUGGGUUGGCCACGAGCCACCCCAGUGCCGCAGGGAAGCCGUUAAGCAUGCCGCCUGGGAAGUACGAUCGCAAGAUUGAAACUUAAAGGAAUUGGCGGGGAGCACCACCAGGCGUGAAGCCUGCGGUUU